AUGGCAGGGGUGGCUCCCGCUCUCCCCAUGGGUGGCAGCUCAGCCGCCCAGUGCAAUGCUGCCAGGCACAAUUUCUAUGGGAUACAUCAAAACCAGCUUCAUUCCCAGGCCAUCUCACCACGGUCCACAUGUCCUUGGAGGCUGAGGGAGCCCAUCCAUGGGCCUGGCCCUGGAGGAGCAAACCCAGGAGGUGGCCAGACCCCAGCAGGCAUCUCUGGAAAGAGUCAGAGAUGCUGCGCACUGGGACAUGCUCAGCUCCUUCCCUGCACAAAGCAAAGACCCAAACACCAACCCCUAACCUUCAGCCCAGCAUGAU
rnacentral:lncRNA from 1 species